UACGAAGGGGGCUAGCGUUGUUCGGAAUCACUGGGCGUAAAGCGCACGUAGGCGGAUCUUUAAGUCAGGGGUGAAAUCCCGAGGCUCAACCUCGGAACUGCCUUUGAUACUGGCAAUCUCGAGUCCGGAAGAGGUGAGUGGAACUCCUAGUGUAGAGGUGGAAUUCGUAGAUAUUAGGAAGAACACCAGUGGCGAAGGCGGCUCACUGGUCCGGUACUGACGCUGAGGUGCGAAAGCGUGGGAG
rnacentral:rRNA from 1 species